rnacentral:rRNA from 1 species
UACGAAGGGGGCGAGCGUUGUUCGGAAUUACUGGGCGUAAAGGGCGCGUAGGCGGUCCUUCAAGUCAGGCGUGAAAGCCCCGGGCUCAACCUGGGAACCGCGCUUGAGACUGGCGGACUCGAGUUCGGGAGAGGAUGGUGGAAUUCCCAGUGUAGAGGUGAAAUUCGUAGAUAUUGGGAAGAACACCGGUGGCGAAGGCGGCUAUCUGGCCCGUAAUUGACGCUGAGGCGCGAAAGCUAGGGUAGCGAACGGG